UCGAGGGGUAACAGGAGAGCUUGCUCUUGCUGACGACCGGCGCACGGGUGCGUAACGCGUAUACAAUCUACCUAUUACUAAGGAAUAGCCCAUGGAAACGCGGAUUAAUGCCUUAUGGUAUCCUGGAGUCGCAUGACUUUCAGGAUUAAAGGUUACGGUAAUAGAUGAGUAUGCGUCCUAUUAGCUAGAUGGUAAGGUAACGGCUUACCAUGGCAACGAUAGGUAGGGGUCCUGAGAGGGAGAUCCCCCACACUGGUACUGAGACACGGACCAGACUCCUACGGGAGGCAGCAGUGAGGAAUAUUGGACAAUGGGAGGAAUCCUGAUCCAGCCAUGCCGCGUGCAGGAAGACUGCCCUAUGGGUUGUAAACUGCUUUUAUACAGGAAGAAAAAGGUGUACGUGUACACUGUUGACGGUACUGUAAGAAUAAGGAUCGGCUAACUCCGUGCCAGCAGCCGCGGUAAUACGGAGGAUCCAAGCGUUAUCCGGAAUCAUUGGGUUUAAAGGGUCCGUAGGCGGGAUGAUAAGUCAGUGGUGAAAGUCUGCAGCUUAACUGUAGAAUUGCCAUUGAUACUGUUGUUCUUGAGUGCUUGUGAAGUGGUUAGAAUGAGUAGUGUAGCGGUGAAAUGCAUAGAUAUUACUCAGAAUACCGAUUGCGAAGGCAGAUCACUAACAAUACACUGACGCUGAUGGACGAAAGCGUAGGUAGCGAACAGGAUUAGAUACCCUGGUAGUCUACGCCGUAAACGAUGGUUACUAGCUGUUCGGACUA
rnacentral:rRNA from 1 species